rnacentral:lncRNA from 1 species
CCAUACAUGAAUCAACAAUUACAUAAAAAUUUAAAACUUUCUCAUUUAAUCAUUCAUUCAUUCCUUCACCAAGCUUAACCUGUGCAUGCACAAAUCAUAACAUAAAACCUCUCACUGGAGUCCUCAUCAAAUACUCCAAUGGGGUAUCAUAACAUACAUUAAGCUUGGUUUACAUAAUCAUCAUUAAACAUUUAAGAUCAUGUACUAAAAAGGGAUUAACAACAUACUAUGGUCAAGUACAACUCUAAACUUCCAUAAGCAUCAUU